UACGUAGGGUGCGAGCGUUAAUCGGAAUUACUGGGCGUAAAGCGUGCGCAGGCGGUUUGUUAAGACAGAUGUGAAAUCCCCGGGCUUAACCUGGGAACUGCAUUUGUGACUGGCAAGCUAGAGUAUGGCAGAGGGGGGUAGAAUUCCACGUGUAGCAGUGAAAUGCGUAGAGAUGUGGAGGAAUACCGAUGGCGAAGGCAGCCCCCUGGGCCAAUACUGACGCUCAUGCACGAAAGCGUGGGGAGCAAACAAGG
rnacentral:rRNA from 1 species